GUCAAUUAGAUCAAACUGUGGAUAUAGGAUGCCUGCAGCCAAACCACCAAUCUUGACCCAUCGUGAGUCUCGGCUCACUGGCAGGGUGACUUAGGAGAGUGAGAAGAAAGCUGCCCAAGCUUUUACGCAUGUGGAACACAUUCACUUCUGACAUCCUUUACGAAUGGCCACACAGCAUGUCCUGUGGGACUGGAGAAAUAUGGAGAAUGCAGCACACUUGCUUCCUACUGAAAUUCAGAUAUACAUGAAAAUCAUUUUGCAUAAUGAAGGAUUAAAAUCAAAUUGUUUUGGGACAGCAGAGGAUGAAGAAACUCAUUUUGACUGAAGUUAUUGGAUGAGACAUGGCUGUGGACAACUUCAGAGAAGAUAUAUUUAAGCAGAACCUUAAACUUAUGUCAGAAUUUUUAAUCACCAGAGAUCAGCAAAGCCAAAGGCAUAUAGACUAUUUCUCAGAUGCACUUGUCAAGAUGAGAGAAUGUGGGCAGAGACAUUCGAACAGGGAAUUACUCCUCCCAAGAAUAUUCUUCCAAGGAAAUCCCUGAAAAACCAGAUGGCAGAAGUUACUCAGAAGAAAUGAAAGGAUUUUCCAUUAUUCAAAUAGGAGGUGGAAGAGGAAGUGUGGGAGUAAUUACUGGAUUAAGAUCACUGAAAGACAAGAUUGUCUUUAAGGAAGACUGAGAAGAAAAGAAGCUUGCUCAAGGUCACAUAGAGCUGGAAUUUAAAUUCAGAUCUAUUAUACUCUUAAGGACUGUGGAAGGAGCAAAAUCUGAUCCAGAGACUGUGGAUGCUGGAGGAGCGUCAAGGCUGGGAAAGUAACAUGCACUGUGUUCGCAAUCAACAGAAAAGAUAUUUUUAAACAAAAACAAUUUUCCAAGUUUCCAGGAAGAGAAACAAAAGGCUUUUCUAAAAUGAAAGAAACUGUUCUUCUCAUUCUGUGACUUUUAUGUCACUUGGACAACAAGCCAGUGCUUAGGAACGGUUAUUUUCCUGUCGACAUCGCUGCAUGGAUACUUCUUAGAAGAACAUAACAGCAUUAGCACUCAGUCCCAGGUUCUGCUCACCCUCCAAUGGCAGUCGUCUUCAAAAACAAUAAAGAUAUCUGUGCUUGGUCUCUCUGUCUUGAUUACACUGCAGGCACAACCUGUGUGGGGAAACAAUAUCCUGGAUCAUACUGAAGGUUCGCACAGAUGGAACAUUAGUGGGAGGGGUUGCCAGCUACUUCCCUGCCAACUUGUUAGUGCUGGAGACAUUAUCCUCUUAUUUUGCCAGUUUAACAGAAGAUCAGUCGUAAAGAUUCACUGUAGGCUCAGCAACAUAAUUAUUAUCUAUGGUCUCUGCAUUAACUGUGAGAAAACAUCAUAGUCUGAAUCUGCCUAAUUUCAAAUGCCAAGCUGUGCCCACAUUCAGCCCACAACUGAACCUGAAUACUCAAUAUAUCCUUAGCAUUGCUACUGUUGUCAUCAUGGUGGAUGUUAAGUACAGGUUUGCCCAAGCUAUGAUGUUUAAUUGUUGCCUUACUGCUUCUGUAUUUCUUCUGUUUCCCUGACCCUUUUCAACACCAGCCCCAUGCAAUUUAAAACUAUUAAAAAGGUAAAAAUCGGUGUCACAUUUAGUUCUGCUACUCAGUACAGAAGUGCCAAGCCCCUGCAAAUCUGGAAAACAAACUCCUUAACAGAUGGGCCACAUAAAGUUUACAACAUGUGCAAUGUGGGAGGUAGUAUGGCUCUGGGCAAGAAACAGAAGACUGGAAGUUUGGGAGCUCAGGGUUUUUGAAUUUGCUUUUGCUUUUUG
rnacentral:lncRNA from 10 species